UUUCCGUAGGUGAACCUGCGGAAGGAUCAUUAUUGAAUAAACUUUGGUGGGUUGUAGCUGGCUUCUAGGAGCAUGUGCACGCCUAUCAUUAUUAUUCAUCCACCUGUGCACACUUUGUAGUCUCGGGAAGGAUGAGAGUGACCAGUCUCUCGGAUAGGCUUUGCCUGUUCGGAUGUGGGGAAUGCUGCUUCAGCUCUCUUCAAAAUGGUUGUGACCUCCUUCUGGGGCUAUGUGUCUUUCUCAUAAACCAUGUAGUAUGUUGCAGAAUGUAAUCAAUGGGCCUCCGUGCCUAUAACAACUUAAACAACUUUCAGCAACGGAUCUCUUGGCUCUC
rnacentral:misc_RNA from 1 species